rnacentral:rRNA from 1 species
GAUGAACGCUGGCGGCGUGCCUAAUACAUGCAAGUCGAGCGAACGGACGAGAAGCUUGCUUCUCUGAUGUUAGCGGCGGACGGGUGAGUCACACGUGGAUAACCUACCUAUAAGACUGGGAUCACUUCGGGAAACCGGAGCUAAUACCGGAUAAUAUUUUGAACCGCAUGGUUCAAAAGUGAAAGACGGUCCUGCUGUCACUUAUAGAUGGCUCCGCGCUGCAUUAGCUAGUUGGUAAGGUAACGGCUUACCAAGGCGACGAUGCAUAGCCGACCUGAGAGGGUGAUCGGCCACACUGGAACUGAGACACGGUCCAGACUCCGACGGGAGGCAGCAGUAGGGAAUCUUCCGCAAUGGGCGAAAGCCUGACGGAGCAACGCCGCGUGAGUGAUGAAGGUCUUCGGAUCGUAAAACUCUGUUAUUAGGGAAGAACAUAUGUGUAAGUAACUGUGCACAUCUUGACGGUACCUAAUCAGAAAGCCACGGCUAACUACGUG